AAGACCUUGCACUUUUGGAGCGGCCGAUGUCUGAUUAGCUAGUUGGUGGGGUAAUGGCCCACCAAAGCUUCGAUCAGUAGCUGGUCUGAGAGGACGGCCAGCCACACUGGGACUGAGACACGGCCCAGACUCCUACGGGAGGCAGCAGUGGGGAAUUUUGGACAAUGGGCGCAAGCCUGAUCCAGCCAUGCCGCGUGAGUGAAGAAGGCCUUCGGGUUGUAAAGCUCUUUCAGCCGGGAAGAAAAGGUUGCGACUAAUAAUCGCAAUCCAUGACGGUACCGAAAGAAGAAGCACCGGCUAACUACGUGCCAGCAGCCGCGGUAAUACGUAGGGUGCGAGCGUUAAUCGGAAUUACUGGGCGUAAAGGGUGCGCAGGCGGUUUUGUAAGUCAGAUGUGAAAUCCCCGGGCUUAACCUGGGAACU
rnacentral:rRNA from 1 species